AAACCAUAUUCCUCAACUUUUCGAAAUCCGCCAUUUUAUACCACCCACGGACGCCGACGCCACGGACUCCGACGCGGCCGACGCCGCCGCCGCCACACCCACUCCCACUGCAGCCAACGACGCCGCCAACGACGCCGCCACCGCCAGCAUGGCCGCCUCCGCCUCCCAGAUGUUUCUUAUUUUUUAGGGCAGACACUUAUUGCUGUAAAUCCCUAUUACAACUGCUUUUGCUCCAUCCGGUUUCCUCCUAAUAGUCAGGCCCCUCUGCUGUCGGACUGCUGGAGGUCCACUCCAGACCCUGCUUGCCUGGGGAUCACCUGCAGUGGCUGCAGAACGGGUUGCAGUAAUCUUACUCAACUGAGAGAAAAGAGAAAUACCAUCUCAGACAUGCCAAAGUAACAGAACACAGGUUAUCAAUUAAAUUGAUUCUUGGGGCAAGGGGGUUGUAAGACAUGACUGGGUAGUUCAAACUGAUUUAACCAUAAGAUAUUGGCUGAAAUCCUUUUAAUAACAAUGUUUUAUUUAUUAUCUCAUGGUACUAAUUCUCUAUCUGUCACACAGAGGGUUUUUUGGGCCACUUGUCUUUAACAAAAAUGAAGC
rnacentral:lncRNA from 13 species